rnacentral:snoRNA from 1 species
GGUGAGUGCUGGCAUGUAUCGUCUGAUCUAGAGCUGAUGUCUGUCACCGCUUUAGCUCUAGAAUUACUCUGAGACCCA